AUUGAACGCUGGCGGCAGGCCUAACACAUGCAAGUCGAGCGGAGCGGCGGACGGGUGAGUAAUGCCUAGGAAUCUGCCUGGUAGUGGGGGAUCACGUCCGGAAACGGGCGCUAAUACCGCAUACUAUCAGAUGAACCUCGGUCGGAUGGGCUAGGUGGGGGGGUAAAGGGCUACCAAGGCGACGAUCCGUACCUGGUCUGAGAGGAUGAUCAGUCACACUGGAACGGAGACACGGGCCAGACUCCUACGGGAGGCAGCAGUGGGGAAUAUUGGACAAUGGGCGAAAGCCUGAUCCAGCAAUGCCGCGUGUGUGAAGAAGGUCUUCGGAUUGUAAAGCACUUUAAGUUGGGAGGCGUUACCAACAGAAUAAGCAACGGCUAACUUCGUGCCAGCAGCCGCGGUAAUUC
rnacentral:rRNA from 1 species